UACGGGGGAGCAAGCGUUGUUCGGAUUUACUGGGCGUAAAGGGCGCGUAGGCGGCGCAACAAGUCACUUGUGAAAUCUCCGGGCUUAACCCGGAGCGGCCAAGUGAUACUGUCGUGCUAGAGUGCGGAAGGGGCUACUGGAAUUCUCGGUGUAGCGGUGAAAUGCGUAGAUAUCGAGAGGAACACCUGCGGCGAAGGCGGGUUGCUGGGCUGACACUGACGCUGAUGCGCGAAAGCUAGGGGAGCGAACGGG
rnacentral:rRNA from 1 species